rnacentral:sRNA from 1 species
AUGAAAAGAAAUGAUGAAUGUGUUCAAUGCAGUAACAGCCCCGAACCCUGCAUGGAAUGCUGUAAAUGUGUAAACUGUCAUCAUUCUUGGUGUGGAAAAUCUCAGCACAAACCCAACUUGGUAGUGGCUCAAACAGUGUGUGAGGAAUGCUUCAGUCAAGAACUCACACCAAAUUCUAAAUGCGAUAACUGUGGAACUAGGUGCAAAAAAUGUGAUAAGGAAAACAAACAGACUUUUAUUAACCCACCAUGUAAAAAUACAUGCGGAUUUCGAGAAAUUCUGUACCCUGCAGAGUUACAGAAUCAAGAAUACGUAAUAGAAGAAUCUGAAUUUGUUAGUUCACCUAUUUCACAAAUCCCUUCCACGGGUUAUGCCCCUUUUCUCGGACAAUAUAGCUGCGUAUCGAUACAGUGGCUCUCAUGGAUACAAGAAGAUCAUUUCAAAAAGACAGGGCACCGCCUCUACAUACAGCAUGCCUUAAAUGAGGGUGAAUUUCGACUGCCGGUCAUUUUCAUCAGCAGACCUGGUGAUCAAGAACCAAAAGUCGGGUCAUUUCUUGGUCAACCUACCAGUGAGUUACAACCCAAAGAAUACAUUACAGAAUUUGUUUCGGGAGGACCUAAAAAUUACGCAUACAGAACUUCAGAAGGAAAAGAAGUAUGCAAAAUCAAAGGAUUUACCCUAAACUAUGUUAACAGUUUAGAACUUAAUUUUGCUUCUAUGCUGGAUUUGGUGCUCAGGCCGGAUCAGGGUCAGCAUUCUGAUUCAACAGGCUCAUGUACAACGAUUGUUAACCCACACAGAGUUCUGCGACAUAAGCAACAGCAAAUCGAAAUGGAAGAAAAAAAAUACAAAAUUGUGUAUGAAAAAAGAGUUAUUCAAGGUGACACUUGGGACACCUUACCAUACGGAUAUUGA